AUUGAACGCUGGCGGCAGGCUUAACACAUGCAAGUCGAGCGGAGCGAGGGUGCUUGCACCUUAGCUUAGCGGCGGACGGGUGAGUAAUGCUUAGGAAUCUGCCUAUUAGUGGGGGACAACAUUCCGAAAGGAAUGCUAAUACCGCAUACGCCCUACGGGGGAAAGCAGGGGAUCUUCGGACCUUGCGCUAAUAGAUGAGCCUAAGUCGGAUUAGCUAGUUGGUGGGGUAAAGGCCUACCAAGGCGACGAUCUGUAGCGGGUCUGAGAGGAUGAUCCGCCACACUGGGACUGAGACACGGCCCAGACUCCUACGGGAGGCAGCAGUGGGGAAUAUUGGACAAUGGGCGGAAGCCUGAUCCAGCCAUGCCGCGUGUGUGAAGAAGGCCUUUUGGUUGUAAAGCACUUUAAGCGAGGAGGAGGCUACUUAGAUUAAUACUCUGGGAUAGUGGACGUUACUCGCAGAAUAAGCACCGGCUAACUCUGUGCCAGCAGCCGCGGUAACAC
rnacentral:rRNA from 1 species